UUUUUAGUAAUAAAUAUUGCAUGACUUGACGAUAGGAUUAUGUUUGAAAUUUUAGUCACAGCACUGUCAGCUUGUAGUACCCUCCACCUUUGGAAACUCACAAUGCCCCAGCCCAUUGGAGUUUCGUAUUUGUCCACGAUAAUAGAUUAAUUUAAUAGUACGGCAAAUGGUAUUAUAUGGUUUGAAUUUUGAGAUUAUCGGAGUAAUCGUUGACAGCAAGAACUGAAACUUAAGAAAUGGAGGUUUUUCCAAUGCUACUGAACAUUGAAAACUUCGAUCGUCCCAGCUCUGCAUCAUUAUUUAUAGCUUUUGAUUACAUUAGUCGGAAAAAUGUUUAAUGCGUGUCAUCAGUUAUCUGCCUCCUGAAAUUGCUGCCAUCUAAUCAUGCCUG
rnacentral:misc_RNA from 1 species